AUGCUGAUUUGUCAUUAUUAUAACAACUUUGUUAUACAUUUUAUAUUUGAAUUUGUGCAUCCCUAUUUGAUUUUAUACAUUUGUACUGUAUGUCUUAAAGACCCCACAGUUACUAAAGCCAAAGCAAAACCUUCAGUGGCAAAGAAAGAGCCAACAGCUGUGAAAGAGAAGUCUAAAAGGACAGAGCGAAUGAUCUCUAAAGAAAAGGCUAAACCUAUCUCUACUAAGAAAGAAGAGAAAGCUGGAAAAGAAGUGAAGCCCAAAGCAGAGGUCAAAAAGAAGGCUGCACCAACACCGAGAGUCAAUCAAGCCACUGAAGAAGUUGUGGCUGAGACACCAGCACCAGCAAAAGAUCUGAAAGCAGAGGAAAAUGUCACGGAGGGGAAAAAGCCAGAAAUGGGCAGACCCCUUGCAGUCCCACUGUUGAAGACUCCUGACCUAGACAGUCAUCAAACAGUAUUUUAUUGUAAAAUAUAG
rnacentral:lncRNA from 1 species